rnacentral:rRNA from 1 species
GACGAACCGUGCGAACGUUGUUCGGAAUCACUGGGCUUAAAGGGCGCGUAGGCGGUCUGCCAAGUCCGGGGUGAAAGCCCCCAGCUCAACUGGGGAAGUGCCUUGGAUACUGGCGGACUCGAGGGAGGCAGGGGUUGUGGGAACUUCCGGUGGAGCGGUGAAAUGCGUUGAUAUCGGAAGGAACGCCGGUGGCGAAAGCGCACAACUGGUCCUCUUCUGACGCUGAGGCGCGAAAGCCAGGGGAGCAAACGGG